AACGGCGGGCAACUUCCUCCUCCCGCUUCGCCUCCCUCCCCCAGAUCACACCAUUCACCAGCAGUUCAUCACCGGCAGCCUCCUGCCCUCGUCCUCCUGAUGCUUCGCCUCUCCAUCACCGGCCUCACCUCACCUCUCCUCCCCACGCCCGCCCCCGCCGUCCGGCUACGCCCGCGCCCCCUCACCCGCCUCCGCCUCCGCGCCCUCGCCGCCGGCGCUGCCUCAUCGCUCUCGCCGUCCGCCCGCAGCCUCCGCCUCCUCGAGUGGGGCAAGGUCUGCGACGCCGUCGCCUCCUUCGCCGGCACCGGCCACGGCCGCGACGCCACCAAGAAACAACUGUGGGAGGUGGAGGACGUGAGCUAUGAGCAGAGCCAGAGGCUGCUCCAGGAGACGGAGGCGGCCGUGUGGCUGCUUGACAACGCCGGUGGGGCGAUGGAUUUCUCUGGGCUGGAUACCGUUGCGAUAGAGUCAGCAAUACAUUGUGUCUCUGGAGGUGCCGUGAUAAAAGGCCUGGAAGCAGUGGCAGUUGCUAGCCUCAUGCUGUUUGUUGAAUCCUUGCAAGUAAAUAUUAAAGCUGCCAUGAAGCUGGAUGAAGGCUCGCAUAGUCUAUUAACAACUCUUACAGAAACAAUUUUAGAUGCUGUCAUUAACAAGUCACUUGUGAAAUCCAUACAAGAUAUCGUUGACGAUGAUGGUUCUGUAAAAGAUACCGCGAGCCCUGAACUAAGGCGGCAUAGAGAGCGAGUGCAGCUCCUAGAGAGCAGGUUAUAUCAGCUUAUGGACAAGUUGAUGCGCAAUGCUGAUAAUGAAGCUUCCUUGUCGGAAGUAUGCAUUGUAAAUGGAAGAUGUUGUAUUAGAACAACCGGGGAUAAGUCUUUGACUUUUGACGGGUUACUGCUCUCCAGCGGCUCAGAUGCUGGAAGUAUGAUGGAACCAAUUGCUGCUGUUCCGUUGAACGAUGAGUUGCAGGAAUCAAGAGCUCUAGUGGCUAAAGCUGAACUGGAUGUCUUAUCAAAACUUACAGAUAAGAUACUUCUUGAGCUUGAUAGCAUUCAAAGUUUUCUGCUGGAAACAAUUAAACUCGAUAAGGUCACAGCUCGUGCAAAAUACAGUAUAGCAUAUGAUGGCACAUUUCCUGACCUGUACUUGCCGAACUUUGAGAACGAAACUGUUACUAGUGCUACAGGUGGGUCUGCCAAGGAAACUUCCUCAGCUCACCCCACUAAGAAGGCAUGGAAACUGUACAUGCCAAAUGCAUACCAUCCACUACUUCUCCAGAAAUACCAGGAAAAUCUCGAUCGUGCCAAAAGGGAUGUUGCUAGUGCCGCAGCGGAGAUUCGGAGGAGGAGGAUAUAUGGGCAAGAUAUUGCAGAAGAUCAACUGCCAUCAGACCUCGAUUCUAUGAAACUUAGGGUUUCCCAGCUGGAGAAAGACCAGCCAGUACCAGUAGAUUUUAUGAUUGCUGAAGAAACUACGGUCUUGGUCAUAACUGGCCCAAAUACAGGGGGUAAAACAAUCAGCUUAAAGACGGUUGGCCUGGCAUCAUUGAUGGCUAAGAUAGGUCUGUACAUUCUAGCUUCUGAACCAGUAAAAAUCCCAUGGUUCAACGCUGUUUAUGCUGACAUUGGAGAUGAGCAAUCUUUGACCCAGUCACUCUCUACAUUUUCUGGGCAUCUGAAGCAGAUUGGUGCCAUUCGCGCAGAGUCAACUUCAGAGUCUUUGGUCCUUCUGGAUGAGGUAGGUGCUGGGACAAACCCACUCGAAGGAGCAGCUUUGGGAAUGUCUCUUUUGGAAUCUUUUGCUGAAGUUGGCUCCUUUCUGACACUAGCAACAACUCAUCAUGGAGAACUUAAAACACUGAAAUACAGCAAUAACUCAUUUGAGAAUGCAUGCGUGGAAUUUGAUGAAGAGAAUCUAAAGCCCACAUUCAAGAUACUAUGGGGAAUACCAGGCCGCUCAAAUGCGAUAAAUAUUGCUGAAAGGCUGGGUUUGCCCUCGGAUAUAGUGGAAAGCUCUAGGCGUUUACUUGGAACAGCUGGUGCAGAGAUAAAUGCUUUGAUAAUGGACAUGGAAAGAUUCAAACAAGAUUAUCAACAAGAUCUUCAGAAGGCACAACACCUUCUUAUUCCAAGGAGCUUCAUAAUAACUUGGAACUGGCACAAAGGAACAUUGUAGAUCACACUUCUGCUCAGAGAAAACGGAAGGCGAGAGUAAUUUCAGAGUACGCAGUUAUGGCCCGUUCUAUCAUUCGUAAGAAGUUUCAGCAGUUCCAGGAAUCCGCAAUAGCUGAAAGAGUGAAAGAAGAAGAGAAGGCUGUGGACGCCAAAUCUGAGAGUGUGAAGGAUCCCAUGCCAACAAGUACUACUGCCAUGGGAAAGGCACAGAAAACUGAUACCAACUUGGCCACAGCAGCCGACGGUAAAGAUGAAGAAGAUGGAAUUCCGGAAGUUGGAGAUUCAGUUUAUGUUCCUAAGCUCAAGAACCAAGCUACUGUAGUCAAAAUAGAUUCUUCCAAAAAUGAAGUGCAUGUUCAAGCCGGUAUGAUGAAGCUCAAACUAAAGCUGCAAGAUGUUAAGGUUCAGAAGCGAAAAGUAUCAAGAUAGCACAGCUACACUGUCCUGUGCUAGCGAGAUUUAGAUAAGUCAUAAGUGUGCAUAUGCUUUCUCAAUUCAAUUCGUAACAUUUCAUUUGCUACAACCUUUCAAGUGAAAAUGUUGACCACUAUCUGCAUGUAGUUCUAAUUCUUGGCAAACUAGCAGUUGUCAAAGAAACAUCAACACAGCUGCCGAACAGCUUCUGAGUUAUGAUUAUCAGAUGUGUAUGCAAUAUUUUAUCAUUAAGUUAUAAUUGUAGGGUCAUUACAAUGCUUCACACGGCACUCAAGUCUCAAAUGGUUUGUGGGGCAUGGAAAUUGCUGAAUCGGCCCCAUUGUAGAGAUGGCCUUUCUGAUCAGCACGUGAACUUGUGCCUUAUGUAGUUAUGUUCAAUCAUUUGUAGAAA